rnacentral:rRNA from 1 species
AACACCCGAAGUCGGUGAGGUAACCGCAAGGGGCCAGCCGCCGAAGGUGGGGUAGAUGAUUGGGGUGAAGUCGUAACAAGGUAGCCGUAUCGGAAGGUGCGGCUGGAUCACCUCCUUUCUAAGGA